rnacentral:rRNA from 1 species
AUUGAACGCUGGCGGCAGGCCUAACACAUGCAAGUCGAGCGGUAGCACAGAGAGCUUGCUCUCGGGUGACGAGCGGCGGACGGGUGAGUAAUGUCUGGGAAACUGCCUGAUGGAGGGGGAUAACUACUGGAAACGGUAGCUAAUACCGCAUAACGUCGCAAGACCAAAGAGGGGGACCUUCGGGCCUCUUGCCAUCAGAUGCGCCCAGAUGGGAUUAGCUAGUAGGUGGGGUAACGGCUCACCUAGGCGACGAUCCCUAGCUGGUCUGAGAGGAUGACCAGCCACACUGGAACUGAGACACGGUCCAGACUCCUACGGGAGGCAGAAGUGGGGAAUAUUGCACAAUGGGCGCAAGCCUGAUGCAGCCAUGCCGCGUGUAUGAAGAAGGCCUUCGGGUUGUAAAGUACUUUCAGCGGGAGGAAGGUGUUGAGGUUAAUAACCUCAGCAAUUGACGUUACCCGCAGAAGAAGCACCGGCUAACUCCGUGCCAGCCGCCGCUGUAA